GGCUCAAUAGCUCAGAGGUUAGAGCACUGGUCUUGUAAACAGGGGUCGCGAGUUCAAUUCUCGCUGGGGCCU
rfam:Astyanax mexicanus chromosome 3, whole genome shotgun sequence.